AUUGAACGCUGGCGGCAUGCUUUACACAUGCAAGUCGAACGGUAACAGGCCGCAAGGUGCUGACGAGUGGCGAACGGGUGAGUAAUGCAUCGGAACGUGCCCAGUCGUGGGGGAUAACUACUCGAAAGAGUAGCUAAUACCGCAUACGAUCUAUGGAUGAAAGCGGGGGACCGUAAGGCCUCGCGCGAUUGGAGCGGCCGAUGUCAGAUUAGGUAGUUGGUGGGGUAAAGGCUCACCAAGCCAACGAUCUGUAGCUGGUCUGAGAGGACGACCAGCCACACUGGGACUGAGACACGGCCCAGACUCCUACGGGAGGCAGCAGUGGGGAAUUUUGGACAAUGGGCGCAAGCCUGAUCCAGCAAUGCCGCGUGCAGGAAGAAGGCCUUCGGGUUGUAAACUGCUUUUGUACGGAACGAAACGGCUCUGGUUAAUACCCGGGGUUAAUGACGGUACCGGAAGAAUAAGCACCGGCUAACUACGUG
rnacentral:rRNA from 1 species